UUUGGGAAAAGUAUCCAGAGAUUCUAUUUAUUGAUGGAACGUAUAAAGUGAAUAUUGAGGGUUAUAUUCUUUACUCUAUAUUAGUUCAGUAUAGUCGUGGUCGUGGGAGACCUGUGUGUUAUGCCUUCUUACGAAAUGAGACGACUGAAUUUGUUGAGCCCAUGUUCACAAAGUUUGUAGAUUUCAACCCAUUUGUUGUGUCUGCUUACAAAGUAGUGAUGAUUUAUAUAGAUCUCAAUGAACUGCGCAUUUUAACCAAUAUUCUUCCUAAUUCUAACAUACUUUUGUGUACGUGGCAUGUGUUGCAUUGUUUCCCGCAAAAGGUUAAUGAAAAAGCUAGACAGCAACGUGAUCAGUUGCUUUCUCUCUUAAAAAGCUUAGUUUAUUCCCCCACUGAGCAAGACUACUUCGAUAAGCUUGUUGACCUCCAAGCUAUGACUUGCACAGAUUUCAUUUCUUACAUACUGGCACUUGUGUAAGGAAAUAUGGGUACAUGCAUAUUGGCAAGCCCUUCCUACAUUUGGUAAUAAUACUAAUAAUCGCAUCGAGUGCCACAAUCAAAAAACUAAAAAUUAUCUCUCUUCAAGCAUGCAUUUGGUUCAAGCAAUAGAAGCAUCGGUAGGUUACAUUGAUAAUGAUUCUUUAUCUCUACAGUUCUCUAAGCUUAAAGAAAUGAAGCUAAACGUAAAUUUAAAUGAUUUCAAUGACCCAUUUCAGCUAGAAGUGUCCCGUAAUUGUACUUCUGAGGCUACAAGUAAAGUACUAGAACAGCAUGAGAAGUUUAAAAAUGGAAGUUAUCAAGUCACUUCGACUCCUAAUUUUUAUGUUGUAGUUUCAUCAAGAUCACAGUACAGUGUUUCAUUGUGCUUGGCUUCUUGCACAUAUGCUUUUUAUAACCAUUACACUCUGCCUUGCUCAAAUAUUUCAGCAGUGCGUGCCUUUACCAAGCAAGAUCUUUUCGACAAGGCUUGCAUACCGGACAGGUGGUGCAAGGAUCAUUUCCUGAGUGACAGCUGCACAACCACUAGUGCCACACCAGUGGCGCGCGCCCAGAAAAGGAGGUUAUGAUAUGCACGUAUGAAUCGCCCUACGUACACAGCAGUGCAGUGACGUUGGUCCUCUAUGUAGACGACUGUGCUCUGACGCUGCCAACAGCGGCACGUGACAUGGCGAAAAUUUUUUAAUGCGACAUGCGUAGGUAAUGUAAUUUGUUGCUUGAAAAGAUGAAUAAAACUUGGGAUACAUAUUGAGAUGCAAUA